rnacentral:SRP_RNA from 1 species
GUUGGGUGUGGAGGCGCAUGCCCGUACUCGGGAGGCUGAGGUUGAUCACUUGAAGCCAGGAGUUCUGGGCUGUAGUGCGCUAUGCCAAUUGGGUGUCUGCACUAAGUUCGGCAUCAAUAUGGUGACCUCCUGGGAGCGGGAGACCACCAGGUUGCCUAAGGAGGGAUGAACCUGCCCAGGUCGGAAACAAAGUGGUCAAAACUCCCAUGCUGAUCAGUACUGGGAUCGAGCCUGUGAAUAGUCACUGCACUCCAGGCUGGGCAAUAUAGCCAGAUCUCU